AUGAUUUGGGAUGAAUUGUAUAAAUGAAAAUAUUUUAAAGAAAUUCAGUUUUCUGUCAUAGCGGAGUGAAGAAACUAGAAAAUAUCCACAUUUGAGAAGCAGGAAUCAGAAUUUUGACUUUUUUUAAAUAAAAAAUGAUCAAAAUAGUUGACGGUUAAUCUUUGCAUUUCUUAAACACUACAAUGCCAAUUAGCUGAAGCCCAUUAAACCUCAUCUAAACAUACCUAACCUUAUAGCAAUACCAUUGCUAACAACUGACACUGACUGCCCAUGUUUAUUUACUUACAUGAUUUCCAUUGGACUUUGAAUCAACAGAGGGCAGUUCCUUUUAUCUCCACAACACAGAAAAAGCUAAACGCAUGCUACAUAUUUUUUUGUUUUGUUAAUGUAGCACUCAAUUGAUGCUAUUAAAAUCAGAGUACUUCUCAUG